AAUCAUCAACCAUGUCUAUUAGACAUUGGCUUGGAGUUGGGAAUUGCUGGCUCGUUCAGCUGUCCUGAAAUGCAUGCUAAUUGGACGUGUACACGGCUUGCGACGUGAUAAUGAUCGUUGUGGCUGGAGCACCAAACCAAUGUAGGGAUU
rnacentral:misc_RNA from 1 species